AAACCAUGAAUCGGAAACUUCUACAAAUAUUCUUUAAAUCUUUCCCAAGCUUCAUAUAAUUGUUCCCCCGGUCGCUGCUUGAAUUCAUAGAUUUUGUCACGGAUCUC